UAAGGUUAAGUUAAUAAGGGCGCACGGUGGAUGCCUUGGCACUAGAAGCCGAAGAAGGACGUGACUAACGACGAAAUGCUUUGGGGAGCUGUAAGUAAGCGCUGAUCCAGAGAUGUCCGAAUGGGGGAACCCGGCAUGUAAUGCAUGUCAUCCAUGACUGUUAAGGUCAUGAGAAGGAAGACGCAGUGAACUGAAACAUCUAAGUAGCUGCAGGAAGAGAAAGCAAAAGCGAUUGCCUUAGUAGCGGCGAGCGAAACGGCAGGAGGGCAAACCGAGGAGUUUACUCCUCGGGGUUGUAGGACUGCGACGUGGGACUAAAAUUAAUAGAAGAAUUACCUGGGAAGGUAAGCCAAAGAGAGUAAAAGCCUCGUAUUUAAAAUUGAAAUUAGCCCUAGCAGUAUCCUGAGUACGGCGAGACACGCGAAAUCUCGUCGGAAUCUGGGAGGACCAUCUCCCAACCCUAAAUACUCUCUAGUGACCGAUAGUGAACCAGUACCGUGAGGGAAAGGUGAAAAGCACCCCGGGAGGGGAGUGAAAUAGAACCUGAAACCGUGUGCCUACAACAAGUUCGAGCCCGUUAAUGGGUGAGAGCGUGCCUUUUGUAGAAUGAACCGGCGAGUUACGAUAUGAUGCGAGGUUAAGUUGAAGAGACGGAGCCGUAGGGAAACCGAGUCUUAAUAGGGCGACAUAGUAUCAUGUUGUAGACCCGAAACCAUGUGACCUACCCAUGAGCAGGUUGAAGGUGCGGUAAAACGCACUGGAGGACCGAACCAGGGCACGUUGAAAAGUGCUUGGAUGACUUGUGGGUAGCGGAGAAAUUCCAAACGAACUUGGAGAUAGCUGGUUCUCUCCGAAAUAGCUUUAGGGCUAGCGUCGAUGUUAAGUCUCUUGGAGGUAGAGCACUGUUUGGGUGAGGGGUCCAUCCCGGAUUACCAAUCUCAGAUAAACUCCGAAUGCCAAGACGAUAUAAUCGGCAGUCAGACUGCGAGUGCUAAGAUCCGUAGUCGAAAGGGAAACAGCCCAGACCACCAGCUAAGGUCCCAAAAUAAUUGUUAAGUGGAAAAGGAUGUGGGGUUGCACAGACAACUAGGAUGUUAGCUUAGAAGCAGCUAUUCAUUCAAAGAGUGCGUAAUAGCUCACUAGUCGAGUGACCCUGCGCCGAAAAUGUACCGGGGCUAAAACAAUUUACCGAAGCUGUGGAUUACCUUAAGAGGUAAUGGUAGGAGAGCGUUCUAUAUGUGAAGAAGGUAUACCGUGAGGAGUGCUGGAACGUAUAGAAGUGAGAAUGCCGGUAUGAGUAGCGAAAGACAGGUGAGAAUCCUGUCCACCGUAAGACUAAGGUUUCCAGGGGAAGGCUCGUCCGCCCUGGGUUAGUCGGGACCUAAGGAGAGACCGAAAGGUGUAUUCGAUGGCCAACAGGUUGAUAUUCCUGUACUAGUGUAUAUAGUGAUGGAGGGACGCAGAAGGCUAACUAAACCAGACGACUGGAAGAGUCUGGCCAAUCAGUGAGGCGUGAUAUGAGUCAAAUGCUUAUAUCUAUAACGUUGAGCUGUGAUGGGGAGCGAAUUAAGUAGCGAAGUUAGUGAUGUCACACUGCCAAGAAAAGCUUCUAGCGUUUAAGUAUACACUACCCGUACCGCAAACCGACACAGGUAGUCGAGGCGAGUAGCCUCAGGUGAUCGAGAGAACUCUCGUUAAGGAACUCGGCAAAAUGACCCCGUAACUUCGGGAGAAGGGGUGCUGUCAGCGAUGACAGCCGCAGUGAAUAGGCCCAAGCAACUGUUUAUCAAAAACACAGCUCUCUGCUAAAUCGUAAGA
rnacentral:rRNA from 1 species